GCGGCGGUGGCGGAACUGGUAGACGCGAUGGCCUCAAAAGCCAUUGUCCCUUGGGACGUGUGGGUUCGAUUCCCACCCGCCGCA
rnacentral:tRNA from 1 species